ensembl:lncRNA
CUACAGUGUUGUCCUCUCUUCUCUCUUCAUAUAUGUCAUGAGAGAGGGAACAGUGUAAUGUGCUUGUUGGAUAGAAAUUGGAGUUCCUCUCAAAUACAGCUUGAAAGUAGGGAUUUCCUAAGAUCAUCCAACAGCUUCAAUCAGAAAUAGGCUUAAUGUCAUUUUGCAACAGAAUCUGUAGGAGUGACAUAGUUACUGCAACCAGAAUUAGCUUAGAAAACUGUUGAUAGCCAUGAUUUUUUUUGGCAUUUUUGCAAGCUUUGCUGCAAAUGGGCGUAGUGACCCUUCAUCCUUUGGGGAAUGUGUGCAUGCUCUUAAGUCUGAUGGACAUAAGGACAAAACCUGAGCAUGGGUUUGAAAAAUGACAGUUUUUUCACUCUUUUCCUGUACUAAGAGAUACCAACAGAUAUAUUUUCUACAAUGGAAAUGUAAAAAGGAAAUUUCCAAGGGAAAUUGGCUUAUCAGUUUCAUUGUUGGGUGGCUUUGGAUAUUUUCAUCCCCUGAACAGGAAUUCUAAUUCAUUGGACUGCAUUUGUUGUGGUUUCUGUGUGGUUGGCAUAAAAGACAAACAUGCCCUUUAAGGAAUUGCUCAGCUCCUUGUGAUUUACCCAUUCAUCUGUCCACCCUUCUUUCACCAUCUGCUUCUUCCGCUGUGGACAUGCGAAGUUGCUCCACGCCUGCAGCAAAAAGCAGCCUGGAUGGUUCACAGUCAGGCUUUUGCAUGCAGCAGAGUUUUCCUGUCUUUGCAAGCACGGAUGGACUUGCCUCUUUGUCAAGGUGUAGCCCUAUAAAGAAGCUGGGUUUUGUAUUCCAGCUGCACAUCUGCAAACUCCUUCAAGACACUACAGACUUGUCUUUCUUUGUGUCUAGGUCUGGGAUGCCAGGCUGGAGAAAAUGCCUUGUUUUUUGUCUGCGGAGAAUGCAGGACAGAGGCAAUUCUGCUGAAAAGCAAAUCAAAACCAGAGGAAGGAAGUGCAGCCCUGCCUCAGUACAGUGUGCAACAAUGCAGGUCCUACCUGUGAGGUUGCUCUAUCCCUGAAAGAAGACAAUAGAAGAAAACUAGAGCUGCUCUGAAGCACUGCAAGAACAUAUUUAAGUGGAAACAAUAAUGUUGCAAUUAUUUUUUCCAUAAAAACAGUAUUUAAUUGAGGAUGUAAUCCUUCCAAAAAGAAAUAAUAAUUUUAAAAAGUCCAUUAAAAAAAAAUCUGUAUUGCAAAAUUACAUUGGGGGUUAUUGGUGGGAGAUUCCCUUAGUGCUACUCUUAUUAUGGAAGCUUGCUGUGUUUUAUUUUUAAUGAAGAGAAUAUUCAAAAUAUGUCAUCAACAAAGACCAUAUUCUCCUAGAGCAACGUCUUUCAUUGGAUGUGCAGAGUUUUAUUGCUGAGGUGGAGGAACAGGGUGGCUGUAUAUCCAAGAUGCUGUUGAAUCCUUUAUCUCUUUGUAGUAUUUAGAUUUUUGAUUUUGUGUGUCCAUAACAGUUACAGAAAUACACUUUUAUAUGUUUGUAACUCAGAGUAUUGGGAUGUCUUGCCAGUGUGUUUCAAUCUCUUUUACCUUUCAUUGGAGCAACCCACCUGCAAGCUUUUAUUUUUGUAGCUAAAGAAGUCGAACAGGGUUAGGGUUACAUUCCAGCUGUGUGGGGACUGUUAUGCUCAGAGUCCCUCAGUUUUAUUUCCAGAUGUAGUUCAAUGGGCAGCUGAGACAUGACCUGCUGCAGUGCACCUGCUCAGAGACUGUGCUUCUUUUUGUUGUUACCCCUGUUCAGUCUCUCCCGGUAUUUUCAUGGGGAGAAGCUAAGCAGAGGGAAUAGCCUGUCAGUACUAGACAAAGGGUUAUCUUCUGUAAGGCUCCCAAGUGAUCAGAGGACAGGGGCAGGUCGCUUAUUUAACCUUGCACUGGGUAGAGCAAAGAUUGAACAGACCUCAGAUAAGCUGUUGGAACCAAUGCCCAGACCAUGAACUGAAAUCUAACUCUGUCACUGAUUUAUCAGUGUGUUCUGAAUAUGAUGAUGGGUGCUAAGGGGAUCUCCCAUGGAAGCACAUUUGGAAUUCCCAGCUCAAUUCUGCUCAAAGGGCUCGGGGCUCAGACCACUCAGGAUAGCGUGAGAGGGAGGCAAAGCCUCACAAGCAUAGCUUCAGGCUCAGCAUAAUUAACAGAUUUGCAGGGAGUGGAGGAGAGGCUUGUCACAGAUUUUGACAGUCCCUUAAUGAAAUGUGUGGCCUUUCCUAAUGACCACACGUGCCUGCUGAACUGGUGAGCCCUGCCCUGCUCUGCCCUAGACCCUGCUGAGUGCCAGGGGCAGACCUGCAGAGGUGAGAGGGACCUCAGAGAGAUAACUGGUGUCUGGCAUCACCUGUGCUGCCAUCCCUGAACUGCCAGCCUGUGGUGUUUGGGACAGAGCUGACAGAACUCCCCUGUGUUGCUGCUUAGUUUCAGACUGUUUUGUUUUGGUCAUUUCAAGUGAGUGAUGGAUGAAUUUCUCAUGUGGAUUUUGAAAGGGCUGAAAAAUGUUAUCCAGUGGCUUCUAUUUCUCACAUUAUAUUUUUGAUGUAGGAAGGGAAGAUGAAGAACAUGAGGCACCUUCCUUUAAAUUUGUGACACUUCUGCCUGAUAUGGUUACUAAUGGGUAUUUUUGAUAGAAAUAGAAUAAAGACCUGGAAGCAUGGGCCCA